rnacentral:rRNA from 1 species
GACGUAGGGUGCGAGCGUUGUCCGGAUUUAUUGGGCGUAAAGAGCUCGUAGGCGGCUCGUCGCGUCGACCGUGAAAACCCGCGGCUUAACUGCGGGCUUGCGGUUGAUACGGGCGGGCUAGAGUUCGGUAGGGGAGAGUGGAAUUCCUGGUGUAGCGGUGAAAUGCGCAGAUAUCAGGAAGAACACCCGUGGCGAAGGCGGCUCUCUGGAACGCAACUGACGCUGAGACGCGAAAGCGUGGGGAGCAAACAGG